GGGGACCAUGGACCUCAUGUGUUCAGAGGGGAGAAGUAAAAAGCUUCCCUUGUAAUUCCAGGACUGUCUCUCCCUGGAAUGCCAAACCGCUGGGUUUCACCUGACGCUGUGGUAGGUGAUGCCGUAUGGAAAUGAGGACCCGUGUUCCACAUAUCUGAGCCACUACCCGUCUCCCUCCAGGGCCGGCCGUGGCUGAGCCCUCCUGAUUUCGCUGGGUGGCCAGCCUGGGGAUCUGUAAGCCCAGUGACGUCCUCGGUCUCGGCCCCCCUCCCCGUGGGGACAGGAGGUGGCUUCAGGAGGCUGAGGAUGCAUGCCUGAGUGAAGCCGACUUGUGACUGUGGUUCUGUCUAAGGGCCUCCCCGGGUGUUAGAUGUCAGUAAGUGACACCUGUGUGUGGAUCUCAUGUGAUGAGAGAAACAGUGGGCGAAACCAAAGCUUGUGGAGUCUGCGGGUUCUGGACUUGGGGAUGUGUGCGCCUGUGUACUUGGUGAGGGGUGUGAUGUCUGGAAUGAGUGUGCACGUGUGUCACGUUUGUGCGUGUGUGGUUAGUGUAUUUAGCGGGUGUGUGUGGAGUGAGCAUGUUCAUGCGUGUGUCGUGUAUUUGAGGGCGUGUGGAGUGUGUACACGCAUGACAUUUGGUGAGUGUAUUCGAGGGUGUGUAUGGAGCACAUAGAUGCGUUUGCCUGUAUAGUAUUGGGUGAAGGGGUGGCGUGUGUGGAGCAAGCAUGCACACGUGUGUGCUGUGUGUGGGGUUUCUACCUGGUCCUCCCCUGAGCCUGCUCCUGGGCCCUGCUGUCCUGGCAGCUUUAGAGUUUGGUGUGUCUUUGGUUCCGGAAGAUUCUGGAACCGGAUUCUGAAGCUGUGACCACAAACUUGCAGCCCUGGAGGACGCUGGCCCGUGGAGCCGGCACGAUGAUCUCGGUGCUGGCCUCUCCCUGGGCUGGGCUCUGUCUGCAGCAGAGUAUGUCCGAUGACUGAGAUGUGCGGGUCUGUGGCUCCCCAGCCUCGAGUCGGCCCUCGGUUCUGUCCCACCUCUGUUUUUCUUGCUGAGGGGCUCUGGGAAGCAGUGCCUGGGAUGACGUUUUCACCCCGCGUUUGCUUUGCCAGCUGCCUAGGUGCUGGUUGCAUGAGCCCUGCUGCCGUCCUGGGUGGACGGGUCUGGCACAGGGUACGUCUCUGAGCACUUGCUGGAAUGCAGAUUUAGGAUGUGCCAGAGGCGAGUGGCUUUUUUUUUAGGAAGUUUUUUUUUUUUAGAUUUUUUUUUUUAGGAGGUGGCUUUUUUUUUAGGAGGUGUCAGAGGUGAGUGUGCCCCCGGGGUCCAGUCCCUUGAACCCCAGCUCUCCUGGUGAGACGAAAGGUUCUUUAGAGUGCCAUAAUCAUGUCCUCCUGGGCAGGCAGUUUCACCAAAUGUGCUUUGUGAGUAAUGGAUUCUUCCAGACAUGGGCGUGUUGCUGACACCCGCAUGGUGGCCCUUCCUGUCUCUGAUAAGCUGACCCAGAGAGGGUCCUCAGUUGCAGAUGGGUCUGUGGCCCCCUUGGCUCUUGGGUUCAUGUCAGUGGCUGGGCCGCCUGGUGCCUCCUGAAGAGAAGCCACUGGCCUUUACCUUAGAUGUUCACAUCCAAACCAGCUCCAGAGUUAGUGAUGAUAACUCCUAGCCCAGUUGGAGACUCCUUAGUUCAGCUUGGCACUUAAGCUCGUAAAACAGCAUUUCUGUUCUGGGUCUUCCUUCAGAAUUGAGUUGUAUUCCAGGGAAGGGAGCGGAGGAGCCUUGAGGUCGGCUGCAGCCUCCUGUGCCUCCCACUCGAGCUGAAGGCCAUCUCUCUCCUGGGCUUCUCCCUGUCGCGUUCCCUGGUGAUGUGCUUUCUUUGCAGAGGUUGGCAACGGCUCGUUCCCUGGACUUCCUUGUGCCCCGUGCUUGACUCCUGUUCAUUGAAUGCCGUUAGGGUCUGGCCAUCGCUGGCUUUGCUCUCCUUUAGCACCUUGUAGAUGUCCACACGUCCUUCCACCCUCGCACCCCGUACACGGCGCAGCACUACCCCGGCCAGCGGCUGUGCUUUGCUGCAGGUCCCUUGCUGUAGCAGGGAGGGGACCCCGACCCCCUGCCGCGUCUGGCCACUGACAUCAGUAGAGGCUCGGCUGCCGUGAGGGAUACCUGUCAUGGGAAGACUGGCCUCCAUGCAGAUUCACAGAGGAAGGUGGUUCUCACAGAGAAGUCAGUGGCUUUUUUCUACCUUAACGCUGUAGCAAACGCCGUCUUAUCUUUCACCACCAAUUUAUGUUUCUUAACACCACACCCAUGGAGCAAAGUGCUGGUGAUGUUUGAACUGUAGCCUGGGGCUCUCGCUCCCAUGGGACUCCUUAGGGAAUUUCCUAGCAGGAUCAUGUGUGUGCCCUUGUAGGGAGUUGUGUCUGCCAGACACAUCCCAUUGUGUGGUAAGAAUGGCUGAGGUCACAGGCUCUGCCUGAUGAGUGCCACUCACAGCUGCUGUCCACGCAGGCCCAUGCUUGGGAUCGGCUGCCUUCUUGUCAGUGCUGCUUUGACUAAUUGCCUGAGGCACCGUCAGAGUGACUUGCUAUUUUUAGAAGCUAAUUCAGGCUUCAGAUGCCAUCUAGGUAAUGAGGAGAGAGUCCAGGAAAGCUGUAUCUGAGCUCUAGCAGAGGCGGACUCUUCCGUCCCAGCUGUCACUGCGUUUACACUCAGAGGAGCACACGGUCGGAGGUGUGGCUCAGGUGUCAGGGCUGUGCUGUUCCAUGUACCCACAGCAGCAGCCUGGCGUGACCAGAACUCAGACACGCUCAGGCACAAAUCAGCCUCUUGGGAGAGCUGCUUACCCGCAGAAUUCUUUUGUCAUUAAGCGGUUGAUGUCAUUCUUUGAAUGAGUGACAGUAAUUCCCCACCUCAGGGUUGGCUGCAGGGGAGAUUCAGUUGGAAAAAUAACCCAUGAGUCUUUGUGCCUCUGGGAGUCCUGGUGCCCCACCCACGUUUUCCUUCCCAUGCCCAGGAUUGUCUAAGACAAAGGGCAAGUCUUAAAGCCUUACGGCAUCUUAAGUCUUAGAUCGCAAUUAGAGAGAGACCCAGUACAGGUGGAACAGUAAAAUCCUCAGAAUUCUGCACUGGCCCUUCAAGAAGGCAGUUGUGGGCUCUUUGGACCCUUGACGGGUUUCUGUUCUCUGUCCUUCCUAAGCACAAAGACGGAAAUUCUUCCCAUUGUCUGUUUUUCUCCCCAUCUCGGCUUCUACACAAUGCAAAGUGGCCUUCUAACUAGAGCCCAUGUUCACUUUUGAAUACAUCAACCAGUUAUUUUGGGAGGAAAAGAAUCUGCCAAAGAAACGAAGUAUAGGUUGGAAUGGUUUAAUCAAGCCUGUGUUUAUUCAACAAAGUGCGCUUUUAAAUUUCAUCUGAAGUACUCAGGUGAAAAUUUCCCAGUGGAUGUUAAACUUUGGUGUAUAGACUCUCAUGUGGCUCCCAGUCUCAAGUUCACAACCCCACUUCAUGCUUUUACUCUUGGCUGAGUCCCAUGGAGGCCGGUUAGGGAAUCCUGCAGGAUCAGCUCUUGACCAGGACAGAUGGACGGACAGAUGGCUGGCUGGCUGGCUGGAGAAUACUUUGCUUAUGUCAUUCAGAGACAAGCAUUUCUUGAGUGCCUGCUGUGGGGACUCGGCCAGGUCCUGCUGAUGGUGCAGUGGUGUGAAUCCUGCCCACAGUUCCUGCCCUCAUGGAAUUUGCAGCCUAGUGAGGACUGCAAGUCAAAUAACCACAAGGUAACUGCAGGGAGAGACACCGGGGUGAUUUCUAUGAAGAGAGGACAUGGGGUGCCCCGAGAGCCCCUGACAGAGGGAACUUUGCCAUCCUAGAAACCAGGCAGCGUUUUCGUGAGGAAAUGACAUUUCCCUCUGGGUCAGAGCUGAGGAAGGUGCCUGUGUGUGUCCCGUGGCUGCUGUGACCCUGACCACACACCUGGGGCUGGAAAAUAAUACUCACUCUCGCACAGCUCUGGAGGGCAGGAGCCAUGGGCUGAGGCCACAGUGUUUGCUCCAGGAGAGUCCCUCGUGGCCCAUUCAGGUGCCCAGAGCUGCGGGCCUUGCACGCCUUGUUCCCUGGCACCGCCUCCUCCCAUAUGGGUGUGCAGCAUCCUGCUCCAGGGCCUUCAGCCUCUGCACCCCUCAUCUGCCGAUGCAAGUGGUGGCACUUAGGGCCCACCUGGGUAGUCCUCAGGAUUCACCUUUAUCACCACAUGAGAGAACAUUCUCAGGUUUCAGACAUUAGGACCAGGAUUCCUUUGGGGGCGGCUCUCCCACCCACCACUGUGCCUGAAUGUGAUGCACACAGCGUCCAGCAUAUCCAGAGGCCCCAGGAGGACCUGGGGUGGCUGGAGCUAGAGCGGGACCUGGUGUCAGAAGCAGGUGAGGCCAGGGAUUCCCGAGAAAGGCUUGACGUGUACUUGAAGUGAGCAAAGGGUUUGGAAUGACUGGAUCAGAUUAACGUUUUUUAUAGAUGGGUCUCCAGUCUGUGUGAACAGAUUGCAGGGUGCCGGGGUGGGAGCUAAGGCCCAGGCAGAGGCUUUGCAGAGUCCCAGGAGAGGGCGCUGCAGCCCAGACUGGUGUGUGGGUGGGAAGGCGGCCGAUGCAUUUCUCUGCUGUUUUUCUCCCCGCUGAGCUUGGUUCCUUGUGGAGGGCAGAUGGCAGACAUUUCGCUCUGGGACCUGAUGCCUAUGCAUCCGAAAGACAUCCCCAGGUGCCUGGGUCUAAGAACCACCGUCUGCUUUUGAGUAGAGUUUCUACAAAUGUAACAUUCACCGAUGGAUGGAAGAUGGCCACAGCUCUAAAAUCACAGGGAGCUUUAGCAGAAGAAAAUAGAAGAUCACAGCUGUCCCCGUGGGCUAAGCUGGCAGGUGACAGCCCCCUAACUUCUCAGCUCACACCUAACGGUGUCUGUGUCUGGUGAAAGCUGCUUCAGCAGGGACAGUCAGAGAGCAGCGUGGAGUGAGCUGGCUUGUGGGGUCGUCUUUUCAGUCUCCUCCUUUGGGGCCUGGGAGAAGGGAGUGGCAGAUGGCCAGGCCCCCACCACAGGUCAUCGAGGUCACCUCCAGGUGGCUGCCGUGGUGGGGUGGGGUGGGGGCAUGUUCACACCCACUCCGAAGGCACAUCCCGGCUGCUGCACACCCUUCACCUCUGCGAUGCUGGGACCACAUGCUCAGGCACAGUAGGGGGCCUUGCUGCACUCACUCAUCGGUUAGCUCUGGGAUGGUGGGUGCACCCUGGGAUGGAGUAACUGUGGCCACAUCAAGCAGUCCGCCAGCAGAACCAAGUGGCGUGUGUUCAUCAUCAAGUCCAUGGGCGGCUACUGUGGCUACCUGGCCAACACGGGGGGCUCGCGGCUGGAGCUGAUGCUGUCUACAUUUUUGAAGAGCCCGUCGACAUCAGGGAUCUGCAGUGUGGAGCACCUGACGGAGAAAAUGAAGACCACCAUCCAGAGGGGCCUUGUGCUCAGGAAAAAAAUUGACCACUGAUGAUUCCAUUUGUGUGCUGGGAAUAAGCAAAAGAAACGUUAUUUUUCAACCUGUGGCAGAGCUGAGGAAGCAAACGGAUUUUGAGUAAAUCGGAGUUUUAUUGCCUUAGCAAACCCAGCCAAUGCACAGGAUUCCCAAAGAACAGUGGUGGCUCAAGCUGCGGCCCCUCAUGAAGAUCUUGGCCAAGUACAAGGCCAGCUACGACGUGUCAGACUCAGGCCAGCUAGAGCACGUGCAGCCCUGGAGCGUCUGACCCAGUCCUGCCUGCAUGUGCCUGCAACCUGGACUCACCGUGGACCAUCUGUUUUUGUAACACUUAAGUUAUUUGUCAGCACUUUAUUAAAGUAUUAUUGACAUUAAUACCUAACCAGCAAGCACCUGUCACCGCCCAUGUGCCCCACCAGCUCCAGUGCAUGCUGUCUGUGGAUUGUGUCUCUUGCUUUCAGAUGUGUGUAUUAAAUGUUUGCCUACAACUGCAACAGUCCUCCGUUU